GGUUUGUCUGAAGGUAGUUAUCUCAAUUGAUUGUUCAGUCAGUUACAGAUGGAACUCCUUGUUCUACUCUUUCCCGCCUUCUCACUACUGCACUUGACUAGUGUAAA
ensembl:Y_RNA Y_RNA Y RNA